UUAAUGCUAAUAACAUUUCCAGUUAUCCAGAGCACAGGUAAAGCACAGACAGCUUCAUUAUGUGAUUCUGCCAAUGUGCCUCCUACAUGACCCUGGAGGGACCACUUCAAAGGAAGGAAGGGUAGUUCAGAUUCCAUCAGUAUUUAAUUAUUAGGCUCU
rnacentral:sRNA from 1 species